rnacentral:piRNA from 1 species
UGAAGAUGCUGAGAUUGAACCUGAGGCAGU